AUGGAUUACAAGUGGACCAGUUUGAACUUGGGCACAACAUGGGUAACCAAGCACCAAAUCAGAGGAUGGACAGGCCAGGAAUCAGCAAGUUAGGCGCUUAUCAGACCUCAAAAGCAGCACUGCCACCAUUGCAAAAUAGCUCGAAGAGGCAGAGAUCUCCCAGCUGCAAAUUGUUGUCACGAGCAAACUGUUUCCAUCCUUUCGAAAGCCUUUUGGUUCCGGAAUUGCUUUUGUGAAUAUUAAUGCGACACCCCACUUCCCAACUCUUUCCACGAUGUUGAAGCAACAGUGUUUGGUCCUCGAAUGGAAGAUAUACAUCAGCAUAUUCUCUUGAUAUGUCCUGAUUGCAGUGGGAAAGGGUUGUAAGUUUAUUAAUGCAAACAGAGAAUAGUUAAAGCUACUAAUACUUUCAUCAAGAUUUGUUUAGAGCUACCAA